rnacentral:rRNA from 1 species
AUACCCAAUCCUGACACAGGGAGGUAGUGACAAGAAAUAACAAUACAGGGCAAUAGUCUUGUAAUUGGAAUGAUGCCGAUUUAAAAUUCCGGCAGAGUACCAAUUGGAGGGCAAGUCUGGUGCCAGCAGCCGCGGUAAUUCCAGCUCCAAUAGCGUAUAUUAAACUUGUUGCAGUUAAAAAGCUCGUAGUUGAAUUUCAGCGAUUCUGUCAUUAUACCAUGUGGUGUAUUGUCGGUUUCGCCUUUUGUAUUACUUUGAGAAAAUUAGAGUGUUUCAAGCAGACUUUUGUCUUGAAUAGUGUAGCAUGGAAUAAUAGAGUAGGACGGAUUUCCUAUUUUGUUGGUUUGCGGUGUCCGUAAUGGUUAAUAGGAACGGUUGG